GAUGAACGCUGGCGGCGUGCCUAAUACAUACAAGUCGAGCGAACAGAUAAGGAGCUUGCUCCUUUGACGUUAGCGGCGGACGGGUGAGUAACACGUGGGUAACCUACCUAUAAGACUGGAAUAACUCCGGGAAACCGGGGCUAAUGCCGGAUAACAUUUAGAACCGCAUGGUUCUAAAGUGAAAGAUGGUUUUGCUAUCACUUAUAGAUGGACCUGCGCCGUAUUAGCUAGUUGGUAAGGUAACGGCUUACCAAGGCAACGAUACGUAGCCGACCUGAGAGGGUGAUCGGCCACACUGGAACUGAGACACGGUCCAGACUCCUACGGGAGGCAGCAGUAGGGAAUCUUCCGCAAUGGGCGAAAGCCUGACGGAGCAACGCCGCGUGAGUGAUGAAGGUCUUCGGAUCGUAAAACUCUGUUAUUAGGGAAGAACAAAUGUGUAAGUAACUGUGCACGUCUUGACGGUACCUAAUCAGAAAGCCACGGCUAACUACGUG
rnacentral:rRNA from 1 species